rnacentral:rRNA from 1 species
UACGUAGGGUGCAAGCGUUGUCCGGAAUUAUUGGGCGUAAAGAGCUCGUAGGCGGUUUGUCGCAUCGGCUGUGAAAACCUGGGGCUCAACCCCGGGCCUGCAGCCGAUACGGGCAAACUAGAAUUCGGUAGGGGAGACUGGAAUUCCUGGUGUAGCGGUGAAAUGCGCAGAUAUCAGGAGGAACACCGGUGGCGAAGGCAGUUCUCUGGGCCUUACCUGACACUGAGGAGCGAAAGCGUGGGGAGCGAACAGG